ACUAGCGCAAAGUUAGUUUAUGGGGACACCACCCCCGUACCUAGGAGAACUAGGAAUUGGACUUCUUGAAGAGAGAAAACAAAUG
rnacentral:ncRNA from 1 species